rnacentral:rRNA from 1 species
UACGUAGGUGGCAAGCGUUGUCCGGAUUUACUGGGCGUAAAGAGCGCGCAGGCGGUCGUGCAAGUCGCGUGUGAAAGCCCCCGGCUCAACUGGGGAGGGUCACGCGAUACUGCUCGACUCGAAGGCAGGAGAGGGAAGUGGAAUUCCCGGUGUAGUGGUGAAAUGCGUAGAUAUCGGGAGGAACACCAGUGGCGAAGGCGACUUCCUGGCCUGUUCUUGACGCUGAGGCGCGAAAGCUAGGGUAGCGAACGGG